rnacentral:rRNA from 2 species
UGGUUUUCCAGGCAAAUCCGGAAAAUCAAGGCUGAGGCGUGACGACGAGGCACUACGGUGCUGAAGCAACAAAUGCCCUGCUUCCAGGAAAAGCCUCUAAGCAUCAGGUAACACGAAAUCGUACCCCAAACCGACACAGGUGGUCAGGUAGAGAAUACCAAGGCGCUUGAGAGAACUCGGGUGAAGGAACUAGGCAAAAUGGUGCCGUAACUUCGGGAGAAGGCACGCUGAUAUGUAGGUGAAGCGGUUUACCCGUGGAGCUGAAAUCAGUCGAAGAUACCAGCUGGCUGCAACUGUUUAUUAAAAACACAGCACUGUGCAAACACGAAAGUGGACGUAUACGGUGUGACGCCUGCCCGGUGCCGGAAGGUUAAUUGAUGGGGUCAGCGCAAGCGAAGCUCCUGAUCGAAGCCCCGGUAAACGGCGGCCGUAACUAUAACGGUCCUAAGGUAGCGAAAUUCCUUGUCGGGUAAGUUCCGACCUGCACGAAUGGCGUAAUGAUGGCCAGGCUGUCUCCACCCGAGACUCAGUGAAAUUGAACUCGCUGUGAAGAUGCAGUGUACCCGCGGCAAGACGGAAAGACCCCGUGAACCUUUACUAUAGCUUGACACUGAACAUUGAGCCUUGAUGUGUAGGAUAGGUGGGAGGCUUUGAAGUGUGGACGCCAGUCUGCAUGGAGCCGGCCUUGAAAUACCACCCUUUAAUGUUUGAUGUUCUAACGUGGACCCGUAAUCCGGGUUGCGGACAGUGUCUGGUGGGUAGUUUGACUGGGGCGGUCUCCUCCUAAAGAGUAACGGAGGAGCACGAAGGUUGGCUAAUCCUGGUCGGACAUCAGGAGGUUAGUGCAAUGGCAUAAGCCAGCUUGACUGCGAGCGUGACGGCGCGAGCAGGUGCGAAAGCAGGUCAUAGUGAUCCGGUGGUUCUGAAUGGAAGGGCCAUCGCUCAACGGAUAAAAGGUACUCCGGGGAUAACAGGCUGAUACCGCCCAAGAGUUCAUAUCGACGGCGGUGUUUGGCACCUCGAUGUCGGCUCAUCACAUCCUGGGGCUGAAGUAGGUCCCAAGGGUAUGGCUGUUCGCCAUUUAAAGUGGUACGCGAGCUGGGUUUAGAACGUCGUGAGACAGUUCGGUCCCUAUCUGCCGUGGGCGCUGGAGAACUGAGGGGGGCUGCUCCUAGUACGAGAGGACCGGAGUGGACGCAUCACUGGUGUUCGGGUUGUCAUGCC